rnacentral:lncRNA from 10 species
AAUUUUUAAAUGUACUGCAUUUUAUUACAUAAAAGUACAACCAGUAAAAUUACUAAUUUAUUUUAAUAUACUUUUAACUAUAAUUAAUAAUUUCUCUCACUAUAAUAUAGAAAAGUAUUACUCUGAACAUCUACCAUAUGCAUUACUUAAUAUAGGUUAACUACAAAGAACCUCUCCACUUAUAUUUUCAUCAGGCAUCUUUCAUUUUAAUGUCCUUACUCUUUUAUAGAAAAGGUCAUAAAUAUGCCCAAUUAAUAAAAAAGAAUCUCUAAUAUCUCGAUGCAGCAACAAUUGAUCACAUGCUUUCACACGUGAAUACGAUAGGAAUAAAAUAACAGCACAAAGUAAUUUGAAAGCUGUAUUACAUCAUUAUUCACUUUUCAAAAAAUUUUUUUCAAGGAAACAAGUAUACUUUCAAUGUAAUUACAAUGCUUCAAAAAAUCUACUCCUUUUAUAGUUACAUACAAAUAAUUUAUCUAACAACUUUAGUCGUGGAUUAGUUUUUAUACUCAACACUCUAAGUGUAAUGUCUGAAGUGUCAGUGCCUUAGUUAUUCUAGUGUAAAUUCUCUGAUAUUUACAUAGAAUCAAUUUUGAAUUAAGCAUUUUUUCUUAUUUACUGCAACGGCAAAAAUAUACUUUAGUAUAAACUCUCUGGUGUUUUACAAGCUGUAGUUUUUGUAAAAAAAAAAAUGUCUCUCCAAAUUCAUUACAUUUGCAGGACUUUUCUCCAAUAUAAAAUCCCUGAUGUUGAACAAAGCUUGAGCAACUGCUUAGGGAUUAUCCUCUAGUACAAAAUGAUUGCAAUAAGAUCUGUGAUACAAGUAAAGGUACCACAACCUCCUUUAUAUUUGUAAUGGUUGUCUUCAGAAUAAAUUUUUUUUCACUUUAAAGGUUUAUAUUUUCUGAAAGAUUUUUUGACAGUAAUUGUACUUUUAAUGCUUUUAUUAAUUAUGAAUCUUCUUAUGUUGAGUAAGAUGUGAGUAGGCAUUAAUGGUUUUUCCAUAUUCUUUAUAUUUGUACGAUUUUUCUCAAAGAUACUAGCUUUACUAUGAAAUAAGGUGUAAGCACUGAUGAAAAGUUUUGCCACAUUCUUCACACUUGUAGGAGUUUUGGCAGUAUGAAUUAUCUUAUGUACAAUCAAGCGUGGCAACCAUAUAAAGGCUUUUUCACAUUUUAUGUAUUUCUAGAGUUUCAUACCAGUAUAAUUUUUUUUAUGUAUAGAAAAGUUGGAGGGGUUGCUAAAAGCACUUUCACAUCUUUCAGGUUUGUAGAGCUCCUCUUCAGCAUGAAUUAUCACCAUGUCUCUUAAGAAUUGAGAACUUGUGGCUGGGCAUGGUGGCUCAUGCCUGCAGUCCCAGCACUUUAGGAGGCUUAGGCGGGUGGAUCACCUGAGGUCAGGAGUUUGAGACCAGCUUGGGAAAUAUGGUGAAACUCCAUCUCUACUAAAAAUACAAAAAUUAGCUGGGUGUGGUGGUGGGCACCUGUAAUCCCACUUACUUGGGAGGCUGAGGCAGGAGAAUGGCUUGAACCCAGGAGGCGGAGGUUGCAGUGAGCCGAGAUUGUGCCAUUGCACUCCAGCCUGGGUGACAAGACUGAAACUCUGUCUCAAAAAAAAAUAAAAAUGAGAACUUGUUAUAGGCUUUGCCACAUUUUUCACACUUGUAGGUUUCUGUCCAGUAUAAAUUAUGUGUAAUGAGGGUUGAGAACUUCCUUAAAAAGCUUUGUCACAUUCUUGGUUUCUGUCCAAUAUGAAUUAUCAUAUGUUUAUUAAUGUCUGAGGAUCAGUUAAAAGCUUUGCCACAUUCUUCACAUUUGUACGGUUUCUCUGCAGUAGAAAUUCUCUUAUGUGUAGUAAGGUGUGAGGACCAGCUGAAAGCUUUGCCACAUUCUUCACAUUUGUACGGUUUCUCUGCAGUAGAAAUUCUCUUAUGUGUAGUAAGGUGUGAGGACCAGCUGAAGGCUUUGCCACAUUCUUCACAUUUGUAGGGUUUCUCUCCUGUAUGAAUUAUCUCAUGUUUACUAAGGGUUGGUGAUUAAAUAAAGGCUUUGCCACAUUUAUCACACUUGUGUGAUUUCUCUCCAGUGUGAAUUUUCCUAUGUGAAAAAAGUGUUGUGGGAUGGUUAAAAGCUUUGCCACAUUCUCUACAUCUGUAGGGUUUCUCUCCAGUAUGAAGUAUCUUAUCUGUAGUAAGGGUAGAGGAGUACAUAAAGGCUUUGCCACAUUCUUCACAUUUGUAGGGUUUCUCUCCUUUAUGAAUUAUCUUAUGUGUGGUAAGUUGAGAGGAGUUCUUAAAGACUUUGUCACAUUCUUCAUAUUUGUAGGGUUGCUCCUUAGUAUAAAUUAUCUUAGGUGUAGUAAGGGGUGAGGACCAAUUGUAGGCUUUGCAACAUUCUUCACAUUUGUAGGUUUCUCUCUAGUAUAAAUUUUCUUAUAUGUAGUAAGGGUUGAGGACUGGUUAAAAGCUUUGCCACAUUCUAUACAUUUGAAAGGUUUUUUCCAGUAUGUCUUCUUUUAUGUCUGUUUGAAUUUGAAAAUUUAUGAAAGACUUUCAUAUAUUUAUCACAUUGAAAUAUUUUGCUCUGGGUAUUUGUGAAACAUUGGUUAAGUCCGUUACAACCUCUUUUGUGCACCUCACACUCAUCCAUAUUUUCACAGCCUUUUUUUUUACUGUAAAUUGUCAUGUCCAUUUUUUUCAUAUCUUCUCAGUAUCACUUUUUGGAAAGAUUCUUUUAUUCUCUGCUCUGGCCAAAGGUCUUGGGCAAAAUGAGACCACAUAACCAAAAGAAACAAUAAAAACACAUUACUUCAAUUGCUAGACUCAGAUAAAUAUACUUUACAAAUCUAACCUAUAAAAUUAUACAAACUACAUAAGCAAGAUGACAUAGGAAAAUACCACAAGCUGUAAUUUCUUCCUGGACAUAUAAAUUUAACAAAAACAUACUGACCAAAAUACAUUUGUAACAAAUUUAUAAAUAAGUUACGUGUAUGAACGGCCCCAGGUGAGCACAAUGCAAACAGCCACAUAGAAGAAAAAGUAAAGUCUGUUACUUAUACCCAACACAGGUCCUCCUGCUCUCCAGUAUAACAUUGUGCUUUUAAAAGUAAAAAGCUGGCUGGACUUGGUGGCUCAUGCCAGUAAUCCCAGCUCUUUGAUAGGCUGACAUCGGUGGAUCAUGAGGUCAGGAGUUCAAGACCAGCCAAGAUAGUGAAACCCCAUCUCUGCUAAAAAUACAAAAAAUUAGCCGGUCAUGGUAUUGGGUGCUUGUAGUCCCAGCUACUCGAGAGACUGAGGGAGAGAGUUGCUUGAACCCAGGAGGCGGAGGUUGCAGUGAGCCAAAAUUGUGCCACUGCACUCCAGCCUGGGCAACAGAAAGAGACUCCGUCUCAGAAAACAAAAAGAAUAAUAAAUAAAUCAAAUCAAAUCAAAUCAAAUCAAAUCAAAUAUAUUGAAUAAUAUUCAGUAAGUGAAAUAGGAACACAGACAACUUCUGAAGAUUAGAAAAAUGAGGAUAACAACAAGAAAUAUUAAAAAGGAAAAAAAAGGCCAGGCACGGUGGCUCACGCCUGUAAUCCCAGCACUUUGGGAGCCCAAGGCAGGUGGAUUACCUGAGGUCUGGAGUUCAAGAUCAGCCUGGCCAAUGUGGUGAAACCCUGUCUCUACUAAAAAUACAAAAACCAGCUGGAUGUGGUGGUGGGCACCUGUAAUCCCAGCUACUCGGGAAGCUGAGGCAGGGGAAUUGCUUGAACCCAGGAGGCGGAGGUUGCAGUGAGCCGAGAUCAUGCCAUUGCAUUCCAGCCUGGGCAACAGGAGCAAAACUCUGCAUCAAAAAAAAAAAAAAAAAGCAAAAAAAAUCGUGAAUAUAAAUAAUACAAAAAAAUAACUGAAAAUUUCUUAAAACAUGAUAUAAAGAUGAAGAAGCUAAACAAACUAGGAUACACCAAAGAUAUUCAUAACAAAUACACAUAUAAAUAAAAUUUCAAAAAUCACAGAUAAGAAGAAGAGAAUUUUGGGAGGUGCAAGAUAAAAAUGAUGUGUUAUUUAUAAGCAUGGUUUCAUGAGAUAAUCAGUGAAUUUAUUAAAAAAUUUGCAGGUCAGAAGGAAGCUAUGUGAUAUUGUUAAAGUUAUAAUUAAAAAAAAACUGUCAAGUGGGAAUGAGAAUAUCAGGAAAAUUGUACUCUCAAAUAAAAAGAAGUCCUUCCAAAGUAACCAAAUCCUGAGAAAGUAUAUUGGCACUGCAUAUGUCCUACAUAUCAAAGAUGCUGAAAGGAGUUUCUUCCACUGAAAAUAAUAUAAUGCAAGAAAACAACACUUAAUCAUAUGAAAAUACAUAAAUUUCUGGAAAAAAUAUGUACAUACACAAAAAUAAAAGUUCUUACUUAACAUUAUCAUAAUGGUGCAGAAAACAUUGUUAGUUAUUUUCUAAAAUUUAAAAGAUAAAAGUAUAGGAAUUACUAUAAACAUCUGUUAAUGAAUAUACAACAUAAAAAAUAUAAUUAGCAAAAUCAUAACAAAGUUGAAGGCUGAUGUAAUGAUGAAGAAUUUUUGUAUGCAACUGAAGCUGAUUCUUUAUCACAAACAAAUAUAUUGUUGGAUCUUUUAGAGGUUUUAUGUAAUCCUUGAAAGUACCACUUAGAAAAUAUCUGUAUAGAUACAUAAAAAAGAAAUAAGACAAAAACAGAAAGCAUGUUAUU